GACCGGCGCACGGGUGCGUAACGCGUAUGCAAUCUACCUUUUACAAAGGGAUAGCCCAGAGAAAUUUGGAUUAAUACCUUAUAGUAUUACGUUUUGGCAUCUAGAUGUAAUUAAAGAUUUAUCGGUAAAAGAUGAGCAUGCGUCCCAUUAGCUAGUUGGUAAGGUAACGGCUUACCAAGGCAACGAUGGGUAGGGGUCCUGAGAGGGAGAUCCCCCACACUGGUACUGAGACACGGACCAGACUCCUACGGGAGGCAGCAGUGAGGAAUAUUGGUCAAUGGACGCAAGUCUGAACCAGCCAUGCCGCGUGCAGGAUGACGGUCCUAUGGAUUGUAAACUGCUUUUGUACAGGAAGAAACCCUACUUCGUGAAGUAGAUUGACGGUACUGUAAGAAUAAGGAUCGGCUAACUCCGUGCCAGCAGCCGCGGUAAUACGGAGGAUCCAAGCGUUAUCCGGAAUCAUUGGGUUUAAAGGGUCCGUAGGCGGCUUAGCAAGUCAGUGGUGAAAUCUCCCCGCUCAACGGGGAAAACUUACAUUGAUACUACUAGGGCUUUGAAUUAUUGAGGAAGGUAGGAAUUCCAGGUGUACCGGUGAAA
rnacentral:rRNA from 1 species